CUUUGGACAAUGGUAGGAGAGCGUUCUAAGGGCGUUGAAGCAUGAUCGUAAGGACAUGUGGAGCGCUUAGAAGUGAGAAUGCCGGUGUGAGUAGCGAAAGACGGGUGAGAAUCCCGUCCACCGAUUGACUAAGGUUUCCAGAGGAAGGCUCGUCCGCUCUGGGUUAGUCGGGUCCUAAGCUGAGGCCGACAGGCGUAGGCGAUGGAUAACAGGUUGAUAUUCCUGUACCACCUAUA
rnacentral:rRNA from 1 species